GCGACGUCAACCACCAGACCGACGUUUCAUUGACCGUCAGUAUGCUCAGUAGAAAUAAAAAAAGGUUUCACCUGAAUAAAUACAUGACACAUGGAAAUUAGUAUCACCUGUUCAAUACAGUCGGAGGCAAAUAUAGCCUAUUCUUUUGAGAAACUUUAUAAUUAUAUUAGUCGAGUAGAGUGUCCAACCAAAACAAGUGCGAAUGCGCCAUCUUGUGGAUUUCAGUCGAUUUUGCAGGGGACUUUCCUUCAGACUUCACUGGCAUUAUAUGACGGGAUGUCCUGCCACAGAGUUCACCUGCGGAAGCCCCCCUGCAGCCCCCCCGGACCCUCCUCAUUAUCCUCCUUCUUCGUCCACACUCACGGUCAGCUAAAGUUGUCUGUUAUCCCAGAAGAUGGACUGCUUAAUG